rnacentral:rRNA from 1 species
UACGUAGGGCGCAAGCGUUAUCCGGAAUUAUUGGGCGUAAAGAGCUCGUAGGCGGUUUGUCGCGUCUGCCGUGAAAGUCCGGGGCUCAACUCCGGAUCUGCGGUGGGUACGGGCAGACUAGAGUGAUGUAGGGGAGAACGGAAUUCCUGGUGUAGCGGUGAAAUGCGCAGAUAUCAGGAGGAACACCGGUGGCGAAGGCGGCUCUCUGGGACGGUACUGACGCUGAGACGCGAAAGCGUGGGGAGCGAACAGG